rnacentral:rRNA from 1 species
UACAGAGGGUGCAAGCGUUAAUCGGAAUUACUGGGCGUAAAGCGUGCGUAGACGGUUACAUAAGUCGGGUGUGAAAGCCCCGGGCUCAACCUGGGAAUUGCAUUCGAGACUGUGUAGCUAGGGUACGGAAGAGGGAAGCGGAAUUUCAGGUGUAGCGGUGAAAUGCGUAGAUAUCUGAAGGAACACCAGUGGCGAAAGCGGCUUCCUGGUCCAGUACCGACGUUCAGGCACGAAAGCGUGGGGAGCAAACAGG